GACGAACGCUGGCGGCGUGCUUAACACAUGCAAGUCGAACGGAAAGGCCCUGCUUUUGUGGGGUGCUCGAGUGGCGAACGGGUGAGUAACACGUGAGUAACCUGCCCUUGACUUUGGGAUAACUUCAGGAAACUGGGGCUAAUACCGGAUAGGAGCUCCUGCUGCAUGGUGGGGGUUGGAAAGUUUCGGCGGUUGGGGAUGGACUCGCGGCUUAUCAGCUUGUUGGUGGGGUAGUGGCUUACCAAGGCUUUGACGGGUAGCCGGCCUGAGAGGGUGACCGGCCACAUUGGGACUGAGAUACAGCGCAGACUCCUACGGGAGGCAGCAGUGGGGAAUAUUGCACAAUGGGCGGAAGCCUGAUGCAGCAACGCCGCGUGCGGGAUGACGGCCUUCGGGUUGUAAGCCGCUUUCGCCUGUGACGAAGCGUGUGUGACGGUAAUGGAUAAAGAAGCACCGGCUAACUACGUG
rnacentral:rRNA from 1 species